AUGUAUUGAAUCGCUAAGUAGCCACACAUAGAAUAACAACUUUUCUUCGCUCAAUUCAACGCCGUAUAAUGUAAUAUUUAGAAAUUAAAUAUAGAAAAUAGAGAAAUGUACCGUUGAAAAACUGGACUUGGAAUUUCCUUGAAGGACCAACAUCAUUAAACGACAUCACUUCACCUGGCAAAAUAAGGUUUGUGAAUGAAAAAGACGGCGCGAAUUAA
rnacentral:lncRNA from 1 species